GAUGAACGCUGGCGGCGCGCCUAACACAUGCAAGUCGAACGGUUAAAGCACCUUUGGGUGUGUAUAAAGCGGCGGACGGCUGAGUAACACCUGGGCAACCUGCUCCUUUCAUUGGGAUAGCCACGGGAAACCGUGGAUAAUACCGAAUACUUCGAGACUUCCGCAUGGGAGACUCGAGAAAGCUCCGGCGGGAAGGGAUCGGCGCGCGGCCUGUUCGCUUGUUGGUGGGGAAACGGCCUACCAAGGCAAUGAGGGGUAGCUGGGUGGAGAGACGAAACAGCCAGAAGAGGCCUGAGGGAGGCAGCAGUCGCGUACGGGAGGCAGCGGUGGGAAGUCUGGCCCAGUGAGCGCGAGCCUGAUGCGAAGGCGCCGCGAGCGGGAAGAAGGCCUUCGGGUUAUGAACCGCUUUCAGCAGAGACGAGGCGAAAGUGACGGUACCUGCAGAAGAAGCCCCGGCUAACUACGUG
rnacentral:rRNA from 1 species